rnacentral:lncRNA from 1 species
GUAUAGGGGACACAACUCAGUGAUGUAUCUCCCAGUUCCAGUGAAUUUACUAAUCUAUUUUUCCCAGCAGUUUUUCUGAAAUCUGAUUGCUACCUUCUCUAUCUACAUGAACCAAAGGUCUAAUGCAAGUCUACUGAACUUGAGGAACAGAGGCUGAAGCAACUUGUUGAAGAAGGCCUUGGAUGCUCUCUUAUUUUGCAAGGCCUGUUCUGCCCACCCGGGAAACUACAUGUGGAAGAAAUUAUUUUUAUCUUCCUCUUUAGAACAAGCAAAGCUGAAUUUUUGUACAUUUCUGUGAGUUGAGCGAAGCACAGAAGGAUUCUGCGGGACACAUCAACCGUGUUGUUCCCCUGUCCUGGGAGAUGGAAGGUCUGGCAGACAGCUGAUUGAUCAGGGGACAAAUGAACAUCAGCUGACCUCCCCAAGGUCCACUAACCAGGCUGUGAGCGCACUCUGAGCAGUUUCGCUAGCUGACAGAACAACCUGGCAAUGCUGGCAAGGAGUUAUUCAGAAUAAAACGUAAACUUCUGAGUAAGCCA